rnacentral:lncRNA from 1 species
GAGACAGUCAACAACACAAAAGCAUGAGAUGCUCUGCAGCAACAGUUCUCCAGGGCUGAGAUCAAGUCGUGAGUAUAUCAUCUUUGUGAGUGGCCUUAAAGAAAUGGAUCUGUUGUUCUUUGCCCUUUCUGCCUUACUAAUAAAUCAAAAAAGAUCCACCAGAACCUUUCUUUAAAAAAUUAACAGAGAUGAUCCGCUGAGUGCCUUGAGAAGUGUCUGGCAUGUAAUAGCCAUGCUCUGUGAUUACCAGCUACUAGCUGUGCCCCACGGGUCCAGUGUGCCAUGAGGCUCCACGCCUGUGGAUCCAAGCAACUGUGGAUUAAAACUAUUUCAAAAAACAGAUGUAUAAUGAAUACAUCUGAUAUUUUUCUUGUUAUUAUUCACUAUCAAUUCCCAGCAUACUAAUAUUUGUAUCCUAUCUACUAUACUGUAUUGGAGAUUAUAAACAACCUAGAAAUCUUUUAAGGUAUCAGGAGAAUGUGCACAAGUUAUCUGCCAGCACUAUACCACUUCGCAGGAGUGGAGAAUCCUCAGGAGUCAUUUAUGUAGAGCGCUGGAAUCUAACUCCCACAGGUACUGAGGAAAAACUUUAUUACUCUUAAGUAACAGUAUAGUCCAAGGACAUGACAGUGGCCCAAGGCUGCCUAUGAUGCUACAUGGGAGCCAUGUCUAUAGUAUCAUUUCUAAUUAUCCAUCUCAACAGACACCAUUCGCUCUUUAUCUCAUGUAACAUUUCCACAUCAGAACACACUACUACCAUCUCAGGCCUAAAUCACAAUCACUUCUACAUUUUCCUUAUACCAGUCAUGCAAACUCCAUCUUCAGUAACAUCAGGAUGUGUGUGUGUGUGUGUGUGUGUGUGUGUGUGUGUGUGUGUGUGUGUACCUUAUCUCUCAUGGACUGCUUAAUGUCUUAGUACCUGUCGGGUCUAGCUUUUAUUUCACUUGACACAAGCUAGUGUUGUCUGAAAAGAGGAAAUCUCAAUCGAGAGAUCAGACUAUAAACAAACCUGUAGGGCAUUUCUAAAACUGGUAAUUAAUGUUGGAAGGUUCAGCCCAUUGUAGGUAAUACCACCCUUGCUCUGGUGGUCCUAUAAGAAAGCAGACUGAGCAAGCCAUAAGGAGCAAGCCAGUAAGCAGCACCCUCCAUGGCCUCUGCUUCAGCACCUGCCUUCACGUUCCUACCUUCAGUUCCUGCCGACUUCCCCUAGUGACAGACUAUUAGCCAGAAGUAUAUGUGGAAUAAACCCUUUUCUCCCCAGGUUACCUUUGGUUAUAGUGUUUCAUCACAAUAGAAACCCUAAGAGAGCACCUUACUCAUCAUCGUAGCUAUGUGACACGUACUAUUUUAGUUGCUCCCUCCUGUGAUAAACUACACUUCAGGUAAAGGUGCAAAUUUGUAUGAGUUCUUUUUCUAGUUCAAGUGGAGAUAAAAGACUGGCUCCUGUAGUGGUAGAUAACCCAAGUUUUAAAAAA